rnacentral:rRNA from 1 species
UAGUCCACGCCGUAAACGAUGUCUACUAGCCGUUGGGAGACUUGAUUUCUUAGUGGCGCAGCUAACGCAAUAAGUAGACCGCCUGGGGAGUACGGCCGCAAGGUUAAAACUCAAAUGAAUUGACGGGGGCCCGCACAAGCGGUGGAGCAUGUGGUUUAAUUCGAUGCAACGCGAGGAACCUUACCUGGACUUAAAUGUAGAUUGACUUAUUCAGAGAUGGAUAAUUCUUCGGACAAUUUACAAGGUGCUGCAUGGUUGUCGUCAGCUCGUGCCGUGAGGUGUCGGGUUAAGUCCCAUAACGAGCGCAACCCCUGUUGUUAGUUACCAGCACGUAAAGGUGGGGACUCUAACAAGACUGCCGGUGUAAACCGCGAGGAAGGUGGGGAUGACGUCAAAUCAGCACGGCCCUUACGUCCAGGGCUACACACGUGUUACAAUGGCCGGUACAGAGGGCAGCUACAUAGUGAUAUGAUGCGAAUCUCGGAAGCCGGUCUCAGUUCGGAUCGAAGUCUGCAACCCG